UUGAGUUUCCCACAGUAGGGACCUUGACUAGGUGUACCAGAGUUGUACCUUGCCUUUGUCUCUAACUUAAUGUGCCUAUCUCCGUUCAUGCAAAAACUUCAUCGCUAGAAAGAUGGAGGUCUAAUCACCAAACAUCCUUCAAGUUCAUAAAAAUUCAUUCCACUUAAGUUAGAGGCGUCAUAAGCAGCAAAGUAUCUCCUUAACACCCGCUUUGCCAUUGUUUUAGCUUGAUGUUCCAUCCAUUUGAAUAUGUCGUUGAUCUGUUUUUCUUGGAAGUGUAUACCCAGUUUUCGCCAGCAAGCCCUAGCUUUUUUUCACAAUUAAAGAAGACAUGUUCGAUGGUUUUCUCCUAUUCACAUCUAGGGCACACGUUCACAAUUCCAAUCCUUUUCUCCUGCAGUUUAGAUUUUACCAGAGGGAUAUUAUUCAGCAAUCUCCAUGUGAAAUUCUUAACUUUAGGGGGGACUUCUGACUGCCACAAAUACUUCCACAUGUUAAAUGAUCAUUGUGCGUGGUUUGUAUGGAAACCCAUCAAAUGUUGGUAUGCCACUUUUAUG
rnacentral:lncRNA from 1 species